rnacentral:rRNA from 1 species
UGAAUCUUGCGGUUUAAUUGGAGUCAACGCCCGGAAACUUACCUGGGGGGACAGCAGAAUGAAAGCCUAGCUAAAGACUAUGCUAGACAAGCUGAGAGGUGGUGCAUGGCCGUCGCCGGUUCGUACCGUGAGGUGUCCUGUUAAGUCAGGCAACGAACGAGACCCAUAUUCCUAGUUGCUAGAAUGAUUUCUCGAAAUCAUUAAGGAAACUAGUUAGACUGCCGCUGUAAAGCGGAGGAAGGAAUGGGCUACGGCAGGUCAGUAUGCCCUAAAUCCUCAGGGCCACACGCGAGAUGCAAUAGCAUGGACAAUGGGUUCUGACCCCGAAAGGGGUAAGAAAUCCUUAAAUCAUGCUUCAGUUGGAAUUGAGGGCUGCAACCCGUCCUCAUGAACCUGGAAUCCCUAGUAACCGCGUGUCAUCAUCGCGCGGUGAAUACGUCCCCGCUCCUUGCACACACCGCCCGUCGCUUCAUCCGAGUUGGAUCUUGUUGAGGUUUUGUUAUU